GACAGAGCUUCCCACAAAGACUCCCAGCUACUGAGAACUGAACAGCCAUUCAGCAAGUACUGAAGCACACACACGCCUCCUCUCGCAGCGACUGAUCACACUAUAGCAACUGCAAGUUCAUACUGAAGACACAGAGGAAAGAAUAUGAACGUCAAGUUCCACACACUCGUCCUCUUGGUCCUCUUUGUCUCUCUGACCCUUGUAUCUGGAGGGCCAGUUGCCAUCCUGUCAGAAGGAUCAGCACUGGAUGAGAGCAGCAUCAGGACUUAUGUACAAAAAGCAGGCAGAAGGCCCAAUCAAAGACAUCUUCCAUUGAAGAAAUACAGGAGGCUGAGACCCCGGCUCUCUCACAAAGGACCCAUGCCCUUCUGAGCCUGGAACCCCCUUAAUUCUCUUUCCUUUGAAGCUCAUCUCUACCUUUUUGAAACCUCAAGGGAACCCAGGCCAUCCCUAGAAGUGGAGCACCCAAGCCUCACCAUAGCAUCGUAUCCAUUUACAAGCAUCUUAAGUGUCUGCAGUGAAAGGCAAAGGGACAGGCCCUCGUUCACAUAGCUGACCUGUGACCUUGUCAGACACUCUUUGCACUGUGCACCAUGUGAUUUGAGGAUCUGUCCACGUUGAUUUUAUCUUAACACAACACAGUUGUCUCCUUUGGGAGAACUCUACUAUCUCAGGGUGUUUAACAAAAACAAAACAUGCAAAAAUCUGUGCUGAUUCCUAUGUAUUAAAUUUGGAAAAUGUAUUAUUGUUCUGUAGGGCCAAGGAAGAUUCUAAUUCUUCAUAAGAUAUUCUGUAAAUACUUUAAUUUUUUGUUACUAAAUUAUAAAUAUAUGCUUGGCUCUUUGGAGCAUUGCUUUUCUCCUGUAGCUUGAGGCAUUAAAAUGUUCUGUCUUAUAAAGAUAGUGUUGUGCAAAUUAAUCUGUAUUGUAAAAAAAAAGCAUAGAAAUAAUUAUUAAAAUAAAAUGCUUCACUUUAUUAUAUUAAAGAGUUGUGCUGCUAAUAUAUUGUCAAUGAAGAGGCUCCCAAAUUCUGUGAAAAUAAAACAAGA